GGGCCUAUAGCUCAGUUGGUUAGAGCAGCGGACUCAUAAUCCGCUGGUCGCAGGUUCAAGUCCUGCUGGGCCCA
rnacentral:tRNA from 1 species